rnacentral:rRNA from 1 species
GACAGAGGGUGCAAACGUUGUUCGGAAUUACUGGGCGUAAAGCGCGUGUAGGCGGCCAUGCAAGUCGGAUGUGAAAGCCCUCGGCUCAACCGGGGAAGUGCACUCGAAACUGCAAGGCUAGAGUCUCGGAGAGGAUCGUGGAAUUCUCGGUGUAGAGGUGAAAUUCGUAGAUAUCGAGAGGAACACCGGUGGCGAAAGCGACGUGCUGGACCCUUCUGACGCUGAGGCGCGAAAGCCAGGGAGCAACGGG